rnacentral:rRNA from 1 species
CCUACGGGAGGCAGCAGUCGAGAAUCAUUCACAAUGGGGGAAACCCUGAUGGUGCGACGCCGCGUGGGGGAAUGAAGGUCUUCGGAUUGUAAACCCCUGUCAUGUGGGAGCAAAUUAAAAAGAUAGUACCACAAGAGGAAGAGACGGCUAACUCUGUGCCAGCAGCCGCGGUAAUACAGAGGUCUCAAGCGUUGUUCGUAAUCACUGGGCGUAAAGCGUGCGUAGGCUGUUACGUAAGUCGUGAGUGAAAGGCGCGGGCUCAACCCGCGGACGGCACAUGAUACUGCGAGGCUAGAGUAAUGGAGGGGUAACCGGAAUUCUCGGUGUAGCAGGGAAAUGCGUAGAUAUCGAGAGGAACACUCGUGGCGAAGGCGGGUUACUGGACAUUAACUGACGCUGAGGCACGAAGGCCAGGGGAGCGAAAGGGAUUAGAUACCCCAGUAGUC